UUCCACAAUGAAUAUCAACCCACGCGAAAACUUGCGAUGACGCACGCGUAAAAGGGUAAAAUCUGUGAACACCCUUCAACUGAGAGAAAUAAAAUCAGGGGUUCUCAAAAGUAGGUACGUGCUUUCCUGCUGCUAUCAUUAAUUUCACCCUUUCGAUGUCGAUUAUGCUUAUAAUUGAACGAGAAGCAUGUUUUUCAAAGAAUUAUUUGAAUUUAAUUUCGAAAAACGACUGAUUUAUAGAAUACUUACAAGUACUUAGAUAGGUACAGUAUACGCAAAUUGCACCUAACGAAUAAUUAUAACGUAUCAAGUACAUGGAUUUUUACCCAGAUACGGCGAGAAAGUAUUUUUAUGUCAGAAAAUGUUGACGCUAUUAAAAUGACUUACCUAAAUUUUUAGCCUCUACCGGUGAACAAGCAUAAGCGAUACUUUUUCAUCCCUGGUUAAAGUAUUCAGUUCAAUAUAAAAUCAAUACAGCUUCCAUAUCUCGGUAUUAUUUCAACAGUGUCUAUUCAUUUUAUUUCUUCAAAUGACGACGUACAGAAGAGAGAAUAAAACUUGUCGUUUGAUUCAUUUUUUUCACUGAGCCAAUUUUUAAUACGUAGGUAUAGGUACCUACUUAUUUUUUUCGAUAACCUAUAUUUCCACUUUUAGGUCAUCGGUAUAAGUAUAUACCUGAAAAUUAGUCAUACAAAACUAUAAAGCAUAAAUUUUUCCCAACUAUGUGCGAAAUGUCGCACUUUCUUAUUGACUAUUUUUACACUUUUAUUAUAGGUACUGUAAAUUAUCUAUCUCAACAAGAUAAAUGGGUAACUAGGAUAAUAAAAUUUCGAAUUAGUAAGUUUAUAUCCCCCUCACAAAGGUAUAUAAUAUAGGUACAUGUACCUACGACAUGAUUAGACAUCUGUCUGACUUGUGCGAUUAUCAACUUCGGAUCAAGUAACUUACGAGUACCUAUCUAAUCGAAUUUGUGAUUUUUUUACUAAAAAUUUUCUGUUAAAAAAAUGUGUAAAUCUAUGUAUUAUAUGUUUUUGGUUUGCGUGUUUGUCUUCAGUUAUGCAGCUGCUAAUGCUGCAAACAGGAGCACUUUUCAAGCUAGGCUGAGACACUGCAGAUGGCUUUGUGCUUUUAGAGAUUCUCAGCAAAAAAAUACUUUACAAACUUGUUUGGUUCUUGCUGAUCAUCAGGAUGUUACAGUGACCAAAUGUGUGAGCAAAUGCUUACAAAAACACGAUGAAAAUAUAACAAACAGCACAGAAUGCCAAUGUCAAAACGGGAAAUGCAAUGGAAAAUCAUCGAAUGAGGUUUCUUCUUCAAGUGCACCAAGCUCGGAAACAUCGGAGAUGUCAACUGAUAAAGCUAUCACCAGCGAUACUUCCACAUCAGAAAUUUCCUUCCCUGAAAGUUCUACGUCUGCAGCAGAUACCAGCACAUUACGUUCGAUUGAAAAUUUCGAAAAUGAAGACAAAAAUGUCCUUGAAUAGCAUGCAACUUAUGGUAUCUUGAAGUAAGAAGUAAAAUCGAUUAAGUAUGUUCCUUGCAAUCAACUACCUUUGCUACUGAGUUAAAAAUUUGUUAGCAUAUUUCUUGAUCCUUGCAAUGUUUGUGGCGAUAAAAAAAUAUAUUUCUCAAGAGUAGAUGAGCAUGCCUAAUUUUUUGUAUCUAUUGUUCAUAUAUUACAACUAUCCUUAAUAAUUUUUGAAAAUGCAUCCAAGUAAGUACAUAUUACGAGAAGGUAGAUAAGUUCUGGAGUAGAUACCUACCUACUUUGUGAUAUCUGCAUGAAUAAUUAAUACCCUCUUUGGUGUAAUUGAGUCCAAAUUUCAAAUUUGAAGGUUCCCAGAAUUAAUAAUACAUAUUACAUAAGGUGCAUAGACUUAUUGGUAGGGGGUGCCUAUAAUUUUUUUUUAAUUUUUUUUUUUAAUAACGAUUUAGUUGAGUCUAUGUACUUGAGUGAUGGGUGAUACAUAUUCGAUUAGUUUAAAGCAAAUACACAUCGCCCUAAAUUAUUACAUUCUACGUCGAUAAAUAAGAAUAUGAACGAUGAAACCCAGAAUGACACAUAUCGGCACCAUUUCCAUUAGCUUGUGCAAAUUAAUAAAAUAAACGCCUAUACUUAAUUGAAAAUUUACAUAGAUAGGUGGGUACACGUAAAAAGUAUAUCUACCGACAACAAAUGAAGUUCUGGGUUUGGAAAAUGGUCCAAUUUUCUCCAAGCAACAUUAACUUAAUACAUAUAUCUGUUUAGAUUAACAAAACAUUUGCUUACUUGUAAGUGUAUAAUUAUCUUUCCAGAUAAGGAAUCAGAAACCUUACAGAUAUUCUUCAUUUCAAUACUCAUUAAAAUAAAUAAACCCCGCGAAAAAUCAGGUCAAAACUCUACAUCAAAUACCUAGUAAAAAAAAUAAAUUUAAGAUUUGUACGCCCUUUUGAUGAUGAAUCGCACUGAAUAAACAAUUUGAUUCAGUUACCAAAGGACCUGUAGUUAUAUAAACCCUCGGGUAGGUAUAAAUUAGUACAGAUACCAAAGUUGAAGCAGUUGACAGUUAACGUGCUUUGAAAUUUUUUUUUUUACGAUUUUCGAGUUGUAAUUUUAAUCGACAAUAUGUGCAAAUUUUUAUUCCUUGUGUUGCUCUAUACGAUAGUUGUGUUCAAUAAUGGAGACUGCUCUAUGCGGAGAAAUUCUUUUCAAGGAAGAUUGAGAACAUGCAGGACACUCUGUGGCUUUAGAGGAGCUUCGAGUUCGGGUUCAAUUCAAACUUGCCUUCUGCUGCAAAAUCAGAACAACGUGACCGUUUCGGAAUGUGUUGCCGGUUGUUUGGAAAGAAAAGGAGAAAGCUUAACAAAUGCAAUUGAAUGUCAAUGUCGAUUCGGCAAUUGCAUCCAACCACCGACUGAACCGCCUACAACAACUCGAGCUCCCGCUGUAAAUCCUCCAGCAGUAAAUCCUCCAGCUGUAAAUCCGCCAGCAGUAAAUCCUCCAGCUGUAAAUCCUCCAGCAGUAAAUCCGCCAGCAGUAAAUCCUCCAGCUGUAAAUCCGCCAGCAGUAAAUCCUCCAGCAGUAAAUCCUCCAGCUGUAAAUCCUCCAGCAGGGAGAUAAGAAACGUUCUUUUGCACAGCAAAUUUAUCUUUCGAAAGCAUGCACUUCGCUCAUCGUAUUUCAUUUUUCAAUCAAAUUUUCUUAAUAAAAUAAAGAGUACGAAGAAUAUGAUGUCAUUCUGUAUUUUUUAUUCGAAUGUAACAAAAAUUUUCAAACAAUAAAAUUUCAAAUAAUACGAACGUAUUCUUUACGUAGUUAUAAAAUGCUUCAUUUAAAAUCGAGUUUACAGGUAAAGAAAAUUCAACAAAAUAAUCAUAUUUAAGUAAUAGGUAGGUACUUUACUAAAAUUCAAACAUGAUAGGUUUUAAUUACAAUAAAAAUACUAAUUUUCUUACUAAACGUAGUUUCUAAAUCGUAAAUCUCAUAUAAUAUCCAUAAUACACACAUCACGUGAAAGAAGAGUGACUGAAUACGUAUUCGUAAUCGUAAUUGUCAAAAAAUAGGUAAUGUAUCUACACGAGUAAUUAUAAAUGCACAACUUUCAUUCGACGUAACAUACUUCGAUAAUAAUUAUUCGAAACACACAUUCAGCAAAACAACUUGCGAAAUAUAGGAUCUCAAAACGGUUUUGAAAACAUGUAACUCUACAAUAACGAUGUUACAUGCUCCAGCGUAUCACCACGAAUGCACAUUUCAUUCGAAAAGA